CUUCCCCCAACUCAGCUUGGUGUCGCAGACAGCCUGUCAGAGAGGUGGGAGGAGGGAAAUGCUCUGGCUCCUAGGUUGAGACCACUGUGUCCCCUCCCAGAAGGGCACAUCACCUAACAAGGAAGUUGGUUUGAAGAUUAGGAGCCAGAAGGGAAGGAAUUGAGGCUCCGAGAGGUCGAGGGCUUUGCCCAGUCACAUGGGAGGUCUUUACCUUACCCCCCUGGAAAACUGGACUCUACCUAAAGAAGCAACCUGGCCUUGGAUGAGUCAGCUUUGGCCUUAUUGUGCUCCCUUCCAGGACUCUACAGAACUUUCUGAACACUUCCAGCCCUGCCCCCAGCUGUUAGCUCAAGUGGCUGAGGAGAUAGAGAGGAAUUAGAGCAGAACCACCUUGAAGGAAGCAGAGAAAGAAGAAAGGAAAAAGGAAUCUUCCUAAGGUAAGAUACAUUCUCUCAUUUGAUCUUCACAGCAAACUGGUGUGAAGUUGGUGCUACUACUAUUCUCAUGUUAUAGAUAAAGAAACUGGGGUUCAAAGAGGUCUUGCACUUUCUCAGGGUCACACAGCUAGUUAUCCCUACCUGCCUCUUGUGAAAUAUGAAUGAACCCAAGAAGCAUAUUGUUUGUUAACUCCCAAUACUAUCAGGUUAAGUCAACAAGUAUUUUUAUGAACCUCCUAAAUUCUGGGAUACUAAGAAAGGGAAAAACAAUCUCUUCCUUUGGGGAUCUCACAGUCAAAUGAGGGGGACAGCAUGUCAACAUCUGCUUACAACUGAUAUUUAUUCACAGGAUAGUUUGGCAAUAAUCUUAGUGGGAAAGCAGUAAUAUAUAUCUUUUUAAAACCCUUACCUUCUGUCUUAGAAUCAAUACAAUGUAUUGGUUCCAAGGCAGAAGAGAAAGGACUAGGCAAUGGAGGUUAAGUGACUUGCCCAGGGUCAUACAGCUAGGAAGUAUCUGAGACCAGAUUUGAACCCAGGACCUCCUGUCUCUAGGCCUGGCUUUAAAUCCACUGAGUCACCCAGCUGCCCCUCUAAAUUACUUCUCUUUUCAAAGUAAUGACUUAGAGUUUUCUUUGAUUUUUUAAUGAGCAAAAAUCAGUUUUCUUUCCUUUCUACCCCCUUUCCCACUAUUGGAAAACAGAAGAUUUGUAAUAACUGCAAAUAGUCAAGCAAAAAAAAUCCCUGAGUAGGCCAUGUUUAAAAAUAUGUCUCUGCAC
rnacentral:lncRNA from 1 species